AUUGAACGCUGGCGGCAUGCCUUACACAUGCAAGUCGAACGGUAGCGGGCCUUCGGGUGCCGACGAGUGGCGAACGGGUGAGUAAUGCAUCGGAACGUGCCAUUGAGUGGGGGAUAACGUAGCGAAAGUUACGCUAAUACCGCAUAUUCUGUGAGCAGGAAAGCAGGGGACCGCAAGGCCUUGCGCUCUUUGAGCGGCCGAUGUCAGAUUAGCUAGUUGGUGAGGUAAAGGCUUACCAAGGCGACGAUCUGUAGCGGGUCUGAGAGGAUGAUCCGCCACACUGGAACUGAGACACGGUCCAGACUCCUACGGGAGGCAGCAGUGGGGAAUUUUGGACAAUGGGGGGCAACCCUGAUCCAGCCAUGCCGCGUGAGUGAAGAAGGCCUCGG
rnacentral:rRNA from 1 species